rnacentral:lncRNA from 1 species
AACCUCAGGAGAGAAUCGUUCACCCGAAGCCACGUCACCAGUUUCCAUGGCUUUGGUCGGCGGUGGUGGCCCGUCACCUCCGCUGGCCGGCCUCCGUCGCCGUCGAUUCGCUAGGGACUAUCCCAUUUCGGGAAGACGAAUUCCUUCCGUCCGUUCGUCGCCUCCGUUGGCAGGCGGUGAUCUCUUGCAUUUCGUCAGAGCUUGGUGGUGUGUGGUAUGGAAGAUGAGGAGGAGUCGCGAUGCCGAAAGUGGCGUGGAAGGAGUUGGAAGUUUGGCUGUCGCGGAGAAAAAGAAAAGAAUGAGCUUACAGCGGGAAAAUCAAAAGAAUAUAAACGAAGAAAAGAAAGAAAUACGGAAUUCUAUUUGGGAAUUAAAGUUAACUAACUAGGGUUAAUUAAAGGGGAUUUGAGCAAAAAAGAAGAGGUAUUGUUUAUUUAUGAGAUAAGUGCAUUAGAAGUCCUAAAACUUAUCAUAAAAAUGCAAUUGAGUAAAACUUUCAAAAAAUGCAAUUAAGUCAUAAAACUUGUCACAAAAGUUCAAUCAAGUUCUAAAACUUCCAAAAGAUUCAAUAAAGUCCUAAAACUUGUCUCGAAAGUGCAAUCGAUGCCUAAAACUUUCAAAAAGUGUAAUCAAUGAAAGGACUUAGAUUGAACCACAUUGAUAAAUUUUAGAACUUGAUUGUACUUUUUGAAAGUUUUAAGACUUAAUUGCAUUUUAUAACAAGUUUUAGGACUUAAUUGCAUUUUGUGACAAGUUUUGGGACUUAAUUGCACUUUUUGAAAGUUUUAAGGCUUAAUUACAUUUUCAUGACAAGUUUUAGGACUUCCAAUACAUUUAUCCCUUUAUUUAUUAUAUUUUCUUAUUAUGAUGGAAGGGUACUUCAACAAUGACCAAAAUCAAUUUCGAUAUGCUCAUUUUUGUUUUUGCCAGAAAUUUGACAUUGCUAAUUUUCAAAAAAAGUAAUUUCUAAAAUAAUCACAUUAUAGGACACCUAUAUAGUCAAGGCUUCUGAUAAUUUUUAUGAGUGAUUGAUCAAAUCCAUUUCCAGAGUGAUAAUUGAGAGUGAAGGGAGUGAAGGGAGUGAAGGGAGAACGACUGAAAUAGCUAUGAUUUGGUACUUGAGUAUAAAAUGUAUCUAUGAAGUUUAGAUGGAAGGAUGAAUUUAUCUGAAAUACACUUAGUGUAAGUAAAAGAAAAUGUAUUGGAAUUGAGAUUAAAUUGAAAAAAAUAAAUUUAGAGACAAAAAUACAUGGAAAUGGAAGUCUUCGGUUCAAGUGUAAGUGAAGCAAAAAAAAAAGACAAAGAUGAACUCACGGAGAGAGUUGUAGCGUGCGCUCGUCUCUGAUGCCUUGGUCCUUUGUACUCCAUCGAAGUCGUU